rnacentral:sRNA from 1 species
GUAGAGAUCGAAAUAGCAGAAGCAGCAGCAGCACCUGAAAUGGAAUAAGCCGGGGUAGCGCCAAUGCUCAAAGAGGCUACAGCAGUUUCUUCGGCGCUAGGAGCAUCCUCGGACGUCUCAACGAUGGGGACGGAAGACGAGGAGCCGCACUGGCCAUGAGAAGCGUUUCGGGGAAAUGGCUUGGCGGACUAAUGUGAUGUAACGUAUCAGUUACAUAUUAAAGUGCAUUCUGAUGGCACUCACGGUCACUGCCACCAGGGAGAAAAUGACAAGAAGCCAGCUUGAAGGAGAAAUUGAGAUCAUGUCUGUUUGAGAAUAGGGAUGUUUGUACUAUCUGUAAAGUGGUUGAUGAAUAAAGGACGGCGACUUGUAAAGAACGUGUAUUGAAAAGAGUGGAUAUUGAUCUUGAAAGAACUUGGAUGGGCUGUUGGAGAAAUACAUGAUGGCAGUUAUAUAUACCUUG